rnacentral:rRNA from 1 species
GAUGAACGCUGGCGGCGUGCCUAAUACAUGCAAGUCGAACGCGCAGCGAGAGGUGCUUGCACCUUUCAAGCGAGUGGCGAACGGGUGAGUAACACGUGGAUAACCUGCCUCAAGGCUGGGGAUAACAUUUGGAAACAAAUGCUAAUACCGAAUAAAACUUAGUAUCGCAUGAUAUCAAGUUAAAAGGCGCUACGGCGUCACCUAAAGAUGGAUCCGCGGUGCAUUAGUUAGUUGGGGGGGUAAAGGCUUACCAAGACAAUGAUGCAUAGCCAAGUUGAGAGACUGAUCGGCCACAUUGGGACUGAAACACGGCCCAAACUCCUACGGGAGGCUGCAGUAGGGAAUCUUCCACAAUGGGCGCAAGCCUGAUGGAGCACCGCCGCGUGUGUGAUGAAGGCUUUCGGGUCGUAAAGCACUGUUGUAUGGAAAGAAAUGCUAAAAUAGGGAAUGAUUUUAGUUUGACGGUACCAUACCAAAAAGGGACGGCUAAAUACGUG